AUUGAACGCUGGCGGCAGGCCUAACACAUGCAAGUCGAGCGAGGUAGCAAUACCUAGCGGCGGACGGGUGAGUAACGCGUGGGAACGUACCCUUUGCUACUGAAUAGCCUCGGGAAACUGGGAGUAAUACCGUAUGUGCCCUUCGGGGAAAGAUUUAUCGGCAAAGGAUCGGCCCGCGUUGGAUUAGGUAGUUGGUGGGG
rnacentral:rRNA from 1 species